GCACUGUCUUUUCCUGCUGCCUUGUAAAGAAGGUGUCUGCUUCCUUUUCACCUUCUGCCAUGAUUGACCCCACUGAAAAUCGGACUGUUCAACUCACCUGGCAGCCACUUCCAGAGCCCCUGGAACUCUGGCCCAAGGCUCUCUGACUGACACCUUCCCAGAUCUUCUAGGCUUAGCAGCUGAAGACUGACACUGCCCGAUUGCCUCGGAAGCCUGCAGGACCAUCACAGAUGCUCUGGGUAACUCUCACAGUGGAGGGACCUGGACUAGAGUGAGACCACGUAGGUGCCUAUGGCACAGAAUAUAAGUGAGAUCCAUGUACACAGAUCCACUUACUCAGAGAUGUGUCCAAGGAACCUUAUUUGCCUCACCCUAAUCCUGACCCUUCUCUGGAAUCUGUUCUCAGCCUGCGAUUUGUUUUAACAAAUAGAAUGUGUUGGAAGUGACGCUGUGCUAGUUCUGGGUCUAAGUCUUAUGAAUGCCUGGAAGCCACUAUUUUGUGCUCUUGGGAAUCUUCAGUCUUCUAAGAAGUCCAGUCAUACUACUGUUGAGAGCACAUGGAGAUACAGAGUGGACACUUCAUGUGGAAUGGGAGAAGCUCUGAGACUACAGGAGCAGAGGAAGAUGCCCAGCCUUACUGGCAUCCCAGCGCCCAGACGACCUGCCAGCUGAAUGCAGUCAUAGGAGUGAUCACUGGCAAGACCAGCUGAGCCCAGCUCACAAACUAGAAUCGUGGGCAAAUUAAAUGGUUGUUGUUUAAAGCCACUAAGUUUUAGUGUGUUUGUUAGGUAGCAAUAGGAAACCAGAACAGAGACCAGCCCUGUCUGCUGUGGAUGCUCUGAUGGUUUAAGCAGCUGAUAUAAAUCAUGACAAGAAAUAGCAGAGAAGGGAAUAACAUGAAACACAGCAGCAGGAAGCCUGGAAAUAUCUGUGAGAUUUCCUUGCAGGUUCCUAGAGUCAGGUGGGCUAGAGGUCUGGAUGCUUAAGAGUAGAUGGGGUCAAAGACCAGAAAUAGUGUCUUGUCACAAAGUCACUCUUUAUCACUAAUCAGGUUUGUCCUGGGGGCCACUUAUCUAAUAGUGCUAUAUACAUGCACGUUGGUGUUACAACCACAAAAGAAAAAAAAAUGACAGGUCAGGGAUCUGAUUGAUUGUUCAACAGAGCGCAUUUAUGGUGCUUGGCCUGUGCAAACAGACUUACGAGCAGACAGGCUCAGACCCAUCAGAGAUUGAGCACAAUAGCUAGGAUGCAAAUCUCUCUAUAUGAAAUGUCUCAGCCCAUACAUACAUGGAUAUGGUGCUGAAAGCACUAGGACCCCUGAGCCAACAUAAGCACAACCUAGGCAUCUUGCAAUAUCUAAGCUUUGGGGACUCAGUUCUCCCCUGCUGUGAUUAUAUGCCUGGCUCUAGAAGCAUUGUGCAAAUUAUAGGACCUGGAGAGUCUAAACUGUAAAUGAAUGCAAAUGAAUGUGGCCUCCCAGGAAAUAAAAAUACAGGCUCAUUAUUUUGUUUUUCAGUCCAGAAAAGAACACACUUUGAAAUGGCAGUUUCUGGCAAGAAUAAAAUAAUAUUAAUAAUAAUGAUAGCUCUGCCCAAGUCAAUUUUCUACAAAUGGCAGUCUGAUAGGUGCUGGCAAAGUAAGGAAACAUCAGCCGAUCUUAAGAACAGUGACCUCCAGGGAACUUGCCAUGAAUCUAUCAUCACUGAGCCUUUUACCAGCAGCAUUUAUUUAGCCCGUUUAUUCCACAAGGUGGUGGGGACACAACUGUACCCCUGGUAUAGGCACAGAAUGCAUUGUUAAAGGGUGGGUAAUAUAUAAGGUGAUGUAAAUAUGUUCCAUUUUAAACACAUCCAAAUUGGCCAAUUUCCUUGAUCUUUAAAAAUAAUUUCAAAGCACCAUGGUGAUGGAAACAUUUUGUUAUCUUUAAAAUGCAUAGACCAGAUUCAUCUUGGAGAUGGCUAUACUAUUAGAAUAUUUUAUGGAUGCCAUUUCUGCAGGCUACUGGUACUAGGAGAACUUAACAAACGGUGCCAGGAAUGUUUGCUGCGUUUGCUCAGCUAUUCAGGUUGAUUUCCUGGGGUCCUUGCUACAGGAGAUUCCAGUUUAGAGGUGAUCCUCCUGGGCUGAGGUCUCUUAUGAGGUCUCUAUCCCUCUAAAUCUUUGUUCAAAGCUUACCUCUCUUAAUUAGGUCCACCCAGACAACCCUAUUCAUACUCAAACCUGCUCCAGAAUCCCUUGUGUUACUGAUCCUCCUAUUUCUGCUGUAUUGCUAAAUCAGUGAAUUAUUUUUUGUUAACUACAAGUGGAAUGCAACCUCUAUAAGGACAGAGGUUUUGGUAUUUUAUUUCACUGAUGUAUCUAACACAGUGCCUGAAGCUCAGUAAAUGUGUGGAAUAAAUAAAGGAAUGGGUGCAUCUUUGUUAAGGCACUUUAUUUCACUGAUAUAGAAAUCUCAUCUUCUGAAUGGGAAUGAUUAUUUUUGUUUUCAGGACCUGUUACCUGCAUAGUCAAAAAUGGUUCAGUGCAAGUCCAGUUCAUGUUGGGUGAGACCCAAGGAGGUUUGCUUUACAUAUACAGGCAUACUUUUGAGAUGUUGUGGGUUUGUUUCCACACCAAUGCAAUAAAGUGAAUAUGGUAAUGAAGCAAGUCGCAGGAAUUUUUUUUCCCAAUACAUAUAAAUGUAGCCUAUUAAGUGUGCAAUAGCAUUAUGCCUAAAUAAUGUACAUUUCUUAAUUAAAAAUACUCUAUUGCUAAAAAGUGCUAACGAUUAUCUAAGCCUUCAGCAAGUUGUAGUCUUUUAGCUGGUGGAGGGAGAGAGAAGGGGAAAUGGCUGGUUGGUGGAGCCGUCAGAACACACUCAACAUUAAUCGAUUAAGUCUGCCAUCUUAUGUGGGCAUGAGUGAUGGUGCCCCAAACCAUAAUAAUAACAGCAGAGAUCACUGAUCACAGACCACCAUAACAGUUAUAAUAGUAAUAAUAAUAAAUCUGAAAUAUUGCAAGAAUUAUCAAAAUAUGACACAGACAAGAAGUGAGCUCAUGCUGUUGGAAAAAUGGUGCCGACAGAGUUGCUUGAUGUGGGGUUGCCACAAACCUUCAGUUGGUAAAAAUAAAAAAAGCAAUAUCUGUGAAGAACAAUAAAGUGAAGCACAAUAAAAUGAUAUAUGUUUUUAAUCCCAAUGAAAAACUUCAUAUAAAGUGUUACUGAUAUCGGAGUUCAGCUUCUUGAUUUUCAACAUGGAAAUUUUCUCCAUAGAUGUUCUAAAUGUUAGUUCGCAUGUGUACCGACAUAAUAGGUUUGAACUCAUAGAACUCAUUCACACGUGUUGAAUAUACAUUUAUUAAGAGUCUACUGUGCAUUAGACACUGGGUUCAGUCUGUAGAUGCAGAAAUAAAUCAAUUGUCAUUAUGUGUCCUUAAGGAGCUCACAAUGUGGUACAAGGCAAAGACCUGUGCAAAUAUACACAGCAAUGAUGGAAUGCAACUGUGCUUCAAAGGAGGCCAGGAGCAGAAUGCUGAAGGAGCAAAGAGAAAGAAGCCACGUGCUCUGCUUGCUGCAGAAUAGAUGAUAAAUGAACUUCUUCUUGGAGGAUGAACAGAUACUUGCCAGGUAGUCUGUGCGAUGAUGAAAGAAAGACCAGAGGAAAAGCAUUCUGGGCAGAGUAGAUCUCAUGGGAAAGGAAAUGAGAUGGUCAAGGGACACUGGCACUUUGAUUAGAACACAAUGUUUUACAGAAUAUUGAAUAGAUUGAUAAAGCUUAGUUAUUGGGAAAGGUCUCUCUGAAUCACUGGUCAAAGAAACCACAUGCCUUCUCAGACUGCAAGACAACUCACUUAACUAUGAUGGAAUCUUCUACAGAAGCACUUGCUUAGAUGUGGUUAUGUUAUACCCAUAUGCAUGUAAUGCUUUUGCCCAGGUAGCUCCAUGUUCUCAGCUUGAAAGAUGCUGUAUCAAAUAGGUGUAGUGUCUGCAAAUAGUAAAAAUCAGUGAUAUCUUCUAGAACAACCUCUUUGGUAAGCUUCCAAUAUAUCUGUAUGUGUGCCUAUAUAUAAAAAUAUAUAUGAAUGACUUAAACACACGCAUGCACAAACCCACACUUAAGAAGGUUCAAAUUAAUUAGAAGUUUUGGUCCUAUAAGAAGGUUGAGAGUGCUUGUUAUAUUAAUGAUACAAAAGAUGGUUUAGCUGCAACACGUGUUAUCAGAAGUCUCCUCAGGGCUCUCUGAUUUAACCUAGCUGGCUAGCAGAUGAAACCUUCCCCUCUUGUAUUUCCAAAUGCACCUUCUCACUGGGACUUGGACAUGCCCAGGAGUUUGCAAUGGCUGUUCCUUCCACCAGGAAUGUUGUUUACCCCGAUGUCCACAUGCAUUGCUCCCUUAUUUCCUUUUAAGUCAUUGCUCAAAUGUCACCAUCUCGUUGUGGUUUACCUUGACCAUUUUAUUUAAAAUAUAAAUUAUUUUCCUACACAAUUGGUUGCCUCCCUGGGGCUCUGACACUCCCGAUUGUCUUUUCUGUUCUCUAUUUUUUUUUCUUUUUCAUAGCAGUCAUUCUCAAAUUAUGUGUUUGCAGGGUUGCUUCACGACCUGCUGAAGGGGAAGAGGUGGGGCAGUGGAAGAGAUAGGGUCUAGAUCCCCAGCAUUUAUUUUAAAUUAGCUCCUAUUUUAUAUUAUUUGACUCAAGGGCAUAUAUCAUGUAAAGUGUUCUGAGCCUUUAAAAAGUUAGAAAAUGACUGUUGUAGAUGAAAGUACACAGAACUAAAUUCAGGAAACUUAGAUUCCAGUCCUGUAUCUUUUACAGACAAACUGUGUGUGAACUUAUGAAUGUCAUGCACUGACUUUGUACCUGUAAGAUGAUGGACAAAAUCAUGGUCUCUUGGUUCUAUUUGAAUGGAGUUUUUCUGUGAUUCUGAAUAGUUAAACAUCCUCCCUGCUGCUACAAAACAAAGACAUGGAGGCUCCUGAAAAUGGUAAUGAAUAUUAGAGCAAGAACUGACAUUAUCUAGUUAUGAGGAGAUGCAUUCAUAAAUAAUAAAAGGAAUGUUCACAUAUGGACCAAGUGUCUAAAUAUAAAUACAAAUACAAGUAUAGUGAUGGGAAAUAGAGUGGAAACUGGAUGCUAAAAUGUGAGAAGAAAGGUCAGUUGUGACUACUUGGAAACAAAUAUAAGAUAAUAUAGGAUUUUUGGCAAUCCAGAGAAAAUAACUGAGGGCCUGGCUUUUCACAUAUUAAUCUGAUGAAGGCUAAAAUCAUGCUGUAUGGCCAAAGCCAUGCAUGUUUUGAGACUCAUCUCACAGAUAUAUCCUACCACACUAGUAAGACCUUAAGAAAUUUGGACCAUUUUUGCAUUUGUGCUUUUAACAUCAAAAACAACAGCAGCUUCUCUUCAGAAUGUCCAGUUUCAAAGGAAACUGGAUAUCUUCUGACACAUCCCAGGAUCCCUGCUAGCAGCUGUCAGGGACAUCCUAUUCCAAGUCUAGAGCACAUCGUAAUGAACAUGAGCCUUCUUUGAUGGAAAGGACAAAAGAGAAAUCAAUAGAGAGUAACUUGAAACACUAUAGACUUUCCUUGUGUUUGUGAUAUGUUCAAAAAUUCCUGUCAGC
rnacentral:lncRNA from 1 species